rnacentral:misc_RNA from 1 species
GCAAUUCUAUUAUUGUCUGUCUUCCUCAACCUCCUGAUUGCACUGACACCAGCCUUGCUCAGAUAAUGGCAUGCCAAAUCACUAAGCCCUUUCUCCGUGAUAACCAAAUCUGGUUUGAAUCUUAGUAUCUGCAUGCACAUGUUCUCGAUAUAUUCCUCUUCCAUUUUCAGUAGGACUCCCCAGUCUUCUUCUUUAACCAACUCCGCAUUUGUUUGGUUCUCACCUUUCUUGUACUCAAGAGGACAAUCAAGAAGAAUAAUACGUGGAUUUACAAUCUUUCUCCUCAUUUUGCCAGGGGC